rnacentral:sRNA from 1 species
GAAAAUCUAUUUUUGACCCGUUAUAAUAUUUUUCAUGUAUUGAACAGUUUAUAUUCGUUUGAAAAAAAUUCAAAUUAUAGCAUAUGCGAAAAAACUCUAAUUAUUUUUUAUAACGAUGAUAUUAUUUUUCGCAAAAACAGAAUCAUUUAAAGAUGAGAGGUGAACUAUAAUAAUUAAUAAAAAAUUAAUAUGAUAAUUUAGAUAUCAAAUCUAAUUUGUUGAUUGUAAUUGGUUACUUUUAAAAAUUACCAAUGUAUUUCGUUUUUU